GCGCGGGGGGCGGAGAGGGGACCCGGGAGCGUGCGAGUUCCCUUCCCGAGACACCUUCGCCCUCCCGCCGCAGCCCCCGCGGGAGGGGCAGCCCUGGCGGGGCGGGGGCGGGCGGCGCGGAGCCGGCGGAGCGGUGCGUGCGGCGGGCUGGGCACAUCCAAUAUGGCCCCUGCGCCGGGAGAAGCCAAUCCCGGGCGCGGUUACUCCGGAGGCUCCGGCGGAGGCCGGGCCGGGAUGCAGGGCAGGCCCCGGGCGGCGGCGGGGGGCGGGGGGAGCGGGGAUUUUCCCUGGGAAAGGGAAACUUGGCGCUCCGGCGCGAUUUGGCGAGGCGCUCACGCAGCCACUCCGGGCGCCCCGGCCGUGCCUCCGUGGGAGCGGGGCCGGCAGCGGGAAUGCCGCCUUGGCUCCGGGAAACCACGGGGGCGCGUUUGACACCGCGCUGGGGAUGGUGCUCGCCAGCCAAGGCUCUCCCUCUCUCUCCUUCUCUCUCUCUCCAGGCAGAGCCCGUGGGCUGGCAGCUCAGUUCGUCUGGCCCAGCGGUGGCAUCACCAGAUCUUCCAUUGAAAGCCAAGGGCUUGCAGGGAGAGCGAGGGGAAUUCCCGCCUGCAAAUGCAAAGGUGGAUGCCAGGCAGGACGAGUGUAGCCUCAGGGUCAAGCUACAGAGCUGUUACAGGACUCGGUUCCCCGUAGCAGGACAGCAGAGCAAAAAGCUUCAGGGGAGAGUUUCUAGCACAGCUGGAGUGAGAAGCCUUUUUGUGUCUUGCCUACAGCUUUAUCUACUUUGGCAAAUAAGUAGAGAAAAAAAAAAACGGAAAAAACCCCACUUUAGUUGAACAGUUACAUAACUCUUCUGAGCUGAUCUAAAGACUAAAUUAAGAAUUCUAGGAAUACAAGAAAAUUCCCAGUCAGGAUUAUAUACACUUGGAUAUUGUACCUGUGAGGACUACAGGCACAGGGGCCAUCAGAAAUCUCACCCUAAGUCUUCCAUUCCUUGCUAGCAGGGAACAUGGGAUAUACUUCUGGUUCUCUCCAACCUGUUGCUUCUAUCGUUAGAAUAUUAUUUAAAGCAAGUUUUGUCAUUAUAUUAAGUAUCAGAUUUGUUGUGUAUCUUAUAUGCUUGAUUAUAAUUCUAAUUCAUUAAUUGAUUACAGGAUUUCUAAAUAGUUUGUCUACUGAGAUUCUGUGGCUACAAGCAUAAGGUAGGGUCUUACUCAGCAUUAGUUUAGAAGACAAGCCUUUAAGCAAGCUACUUCAAUGUUUUGGCUUUACAGUACUUUUGUCUUUAUUCCUGUCUCUCAAUUCCUUCAUCACAAAAACUCCAGUCUUCCUCUCAAACUAUUCAGAAGACUAUUGUUAAUAUUUACACUAAACUUUGUUUUUACUUUCUUCUUUUAGCCAGCCCCAUAAUUUCCCUUUCUCUCAUUAGCAAUUAAAAAAAGUUUAAAAAAAUAAAUAUAGCUGUUGUGUUUUUUUUGGGUGGGGU
rnacentral:lncRNA from 1 species